GACGAACCGAGCGAACGUUGUUCGGAAUCACUGGGCUUAAAGGGCGCGUAGGCGGGCUGUCAAGUCUGGGGUGAAAUCCCGCGGCUCAACCGUGGAACUGCCUCAGAUACUGACGGCCUCGAGGGAGAUAGGGGCGAGCGGAACUAAUGGUGGAGCGGUGAAAUGCGUUGAUAUCAUUAGGAACUCCGGUGGCGAAGGCGGCUCGCUGGAUCUUUUCUGACGCUGAGGCGCGAAAGCUAGGUGAGCAAACAGG
rnacentral:rRNA from 1 species